AUAUAAUUAAAGUAUUCUUUUGUUUUUGUUGGUUAAGCAAAUCCGCCUACAACUAAUGUUUGGUUGCCAUAGAAACGAAACUUCCAUUCCUUUAGUCUGUCUCGCGUAGACCAGUAGAGUAGAAAAAUGAUAAAACUUUGUAAAAUUCUUGGCUAUGCCUAACGGCAAGUAUUCCCAGCACACACUGAUGUAAGGAUGCGAGCUAACUAAUGGUUGUCUCGUUUCCAUGGCAAUUUCUUACAUGGUUUUUCCACAUUUUACCAUGUGCUUCAAUUUGGCCUAAAACUCGAUGCAAUUGUGCUAUUUGACAAUAGGGGGCAUUUUUAUUUGAAAAGGGUGGUCGGAUUUUUUUGGAACAUACUGUACUUCUGGCCUAUGAAAGUAUGAAUUCUCUCAGAACACUCUGAAGUGUUCAACAGUGAAGUAUGGUACGUCCGUCAGAAAAUUGCAUAAAUCAUAUGGUGAAAACCCGAAUUCUAAUGGAUGAACGCCGUGGGGGUGAUUUAAAGGUAUUGGCUUUUCAACCUUACCUGGAAUGAAGGGGGUUAUUACUUUAGGUUGUCCUCCAUGAUGGAGAGCUCUUGGUCUUGGAUAAUCAUUAGUUUUCCUUAAAUGCUGUAGUUUUCAACUGAUGUUUGGUCUGCUGGACAAUGCAUGUGUCUGUAAUGGUGAAUCAUUCUCUAUGAUGAAUCUCUGCUUCAUGUGUUUAUAGCUACAGUUAUGGUGCCUCUGUCUGCUAGCCAUUUAACAUCUGUUUGGUUUAAGGGGGUGACUGUUGCAUGGGAUCUUCCAAUCUUCUAAAGUUACUUCACAGUCCUUUUGGUCAUUGUGCUUCAUUUGGUGUGGAGCUGAUUGAUUUGGUGGUAAAAGCUUUCCACUGUUCUGUUUGAGAAUCUUUUCCCCCUAUAGCAAUCCACUUUUGAUUGGUGUUUGAAAGUUCUCAUGGACAAAAGGAUAACUGCUGCAUUUUCCGUCAUGUUUGUGAACCUGCAUCCGUGGUCUGCAGUACUUUCACUGAAAGGUGGUUGGGGAGGAUUUGGCUUGGCGGCUAGGCUGGUUGGAUGCUGAGAUUACAUUUAUAGUUUGUCUUGUUUUAGUGAUUGGAGUGUGUUCUGGCUUAUCCGCAUGUUUCCUGUGUGCUGGUCCUAACCCUGUGGAAUCCGGGAAACUUUAUACAGACGGUCAACAUUAUAUCAGCAAUUCAGCUCGUCCCAGUCGAGCUCACCCCCGACAAGUCUUUAUCGUAUGGCAUGAUACAGAUUGAAGGUUCGAAAUGGAAUGGAAUUCCCGUCAAAUUUAAAGUUGAGUAUUUCGGCCACCUAAUCCGGAUUAUUGUAUCCGUUGCCAAAAAGAAAUAACUUUUGUUAAUAGUUCUUUUGUCUUUAUUUUGAUCCGUCUUUUUUGGUGAUAUCUGAGCUUAACCCAGUUAAGCUUACUAAUUACUAGUAUUUUCCUGGAACAUGAGAUUAAACAUUAAAUAAAGGUCGUUUUAAGUGUAGUUUAUCGAAAAUCUGGUUGCAUGAUAGACGGUUAAAGCUUAUAGAUCACUUUCAUUCUUCGUGUUCUUUUCAUUUAGUAAACAGUAUGAAUACACAGUUAAAGCUGGAA
rnacentral:lncRNA from 1 species